AAACUGCUCAUAAGGACUGAAGUCAGAUUUCGUUCAGGGACACGUAUCAGGCUAAACAUCAGCAGACAGUGUUGAAGGGACUGUGGGACCGUGACUGAGAGCAGGGGCCUUCUUUAGCAACUAAGCACAGGCUUGUGUCACAAAAGCCCAGCGAUAGGGACAGGGUCUGUCCCCACCAGGACCUCCUCUCAGCGGGACAUGGUGGUCAGCAGCCAGGGGACCUCACAUGUUACAUCCAUGCCCAUUAGCCACGUGAGUCUUGGCUUUCUCCUCUGCCACACAGGGAUGGCGACAGAGCCAUCCACGUCUCAGUGAGGUGGUGUGGGCACAUGAGAUGGCAUAUGGCUAACCUGCUGGGCACAGUGUGUGGAACACAGAAACUUUCAGCCCAGGGCCAGGCCAACACCACCUUCAAGGCCGUCUGCAUUACUGGGGUGGGGCGAGGCAGGAUAGCAGCUCACUGAGCAUGUGAGUGCAUGUGUGCAGAGGGUCACAAUCACACCCACACAUCUGAGCCAGGCUACAGCAGGUGCAGGACCCACUGGGCACCCCCGAGACCCCAAAUCCUUUCCUUCCAAGUUGCAAAUGUUUGACAGUCCGUGUCAGCGGCUCAGCCCUCAGCCUGGGCUUCGGAUUGUAAUUCUGUCUUCGGUCUUGCAAAUCUUGGCAUGGACUUCUGAUCCCCGCGUGGGCUGGAGGCUGGGCCUCUGGAAGGCCAGGCUGGAGGUGAUGGAGGGCUUCUGCUUGGAAUUUGAGCAUGUCCACUGCCAGUAUUUGUGGUUACUACCUGCAACGUAAAUCUCUUUUAGAGAUGUGUGAGGACAGCAUACAUAAUGAAAUAUCAACAUGUAACUUGAUUUAAAGUGCCUUUUCAUUAAUAUAACAAAUGAAGUGUACCAAAAUUUGAAAGUAUAUUCCUUUGGGCCUAAUUAAAACACUGAACAAAAUACAUGUAUAUGUAUAUUUUAAAUGAAGACAUUCAGCAGCCAGAAUUAGCUACAGAAAUUAAUUCAACUCGAAAAGUGCACCAUGAGUACAUUGUUAUUAUUAACGGAGCCAACCCUCUUCCCCGAGAUACCUCAAAUAACGGGCCUCUGAUUUAGUGCCUGCAUGGGUGACAAGUGGGCUUGGCUUUAAAAAUACCGCAGUCUACACAGUGGCUCGUCCCACGGGUGUUUUAACUGUUCUGCUGCCUUCCGGGCAGAGGAGAAUUUUCUGGGCACCCGUGCCGGCGUCAGCGAGCUGUGAUCUCCUCUGACUGAGGAGAGCGUCCUUGGCUCAACUUCCAUGCACAAAGGGCAGUGGUCUCUGCCUUGGGGGGCUGUGGCCAGAGCUAUGGGAG
rnacentral:lncRNA from 1 species